rnacentral:rRNA from 1 species
AUUGAACGCUGGCGGCAGGCUUAACACAUGCAAGUCGAGCGGUAGCACAGGGGAGCUUGCUCCCUGGGUGACGAGCGGCGGACGGGUGAGUAAUGUCUGGGAAACUGCCUGAUGGAGGGGGAUAACUACUGGAAACGGUAGCUAAUACCGCAUAACGUCGCAAGACCAAAGAGGGGGACCUUCGGGCCUCUUGCCGUCAGAUGUGCCCAGAUGGGAUUAGCUAGUAGGUGGGGUAAUGGCUCACCUAGGCGACGAUCCCUAGCUGGUCUGAGAGGAUGACCAGCCACACUGGAACUGAGACACGGUCCAGACUCCUACGGGAGGCAGCAGUGGGGAAUAUUGCACAAUGGGCGCAAGCCUGAUGCAGCCAUGCCGCGUGUGUGAAGAAGGCCUUCGGGUCGUAAAGCACUUUCAGCGAGGAGGAAGGUGGUGAGCUUAAUACGUUCAUCAAUUGACGGUACUCGCAGAAGAAGCACCGGCUAACUCCGUG